rnacentral:lncRNA from 1 species
ACUUUUUUUUUUUGCUUUCUCUUGAACCCCGAAAAUUUUUCUCUUUUCUCUCUUCUCUCCUUUUUUUUUUUGAACCCCGCAAUUUUUCGUUCGCGCAAAUGAUCCCAGAUCACUGCAUUUGAACCCGGACAUCUUGUUUGCCAAAAUAAUGAACCCCAUUCUCCAUUUGAACCCCAGUCGCCUGACGAUAGCUCGCGAUCGCCAUUGUGAACCCCGUUCUCCGGAAAACACCUCAUGUCUCCCUCUCUC